rnacentral:lncRNA from 1 species
CCCACCCCUGUUCCCGGGCUUGUCUCAACCCCACCCAGUGGCUGCUGCUGUCUGCGCCCGAGGACCUCAUCUCCUCGCAGAGGCUGGCUCCCCGCGCCCCGCAUCCCACGCUGGGACACGCGUGUGGCCUUGCCAGGGUGGGCGAGACACGGCCGCCUUCCUUCACAUCCAACGCCGGUGAGGCUCAGCACUCAUUGUCUCACUGGCAGCACAGACAAAGCCUUGCGGGCUCCACGGGAUAAUCAACAGCGAGAACGCCCCCAGGGACCUCCGGAAAGAGACACCAUUGGUUGCAGGCCUCCAGGUUCUCGUCUGCCUGGUCAAGAAAGGCACAAAAAGGACCAACAAAUAAUACUGACAUGGUGCUUUGGAUCCAGGAGGCCUUGCGGUACCAGGAGAGGAAUACUGAUGGUUCCAUCUGGCGAAUGGGAAAGGUGAGGCAUUGAGAGGGUGAAAUGCUUUCAGGCAUAGGUGAGGGGGUACCAGGAAAUUUAAGGGGGAGACUCUUUUUCCUGGGGGCAGGUGGAGAAGGUACACGACCACUGAUAGUGAACACAACUCUCAACAAAGGCAAUUCCAGCUCUUCGGCCACCACAGUAAAGCAGCCAAGGAUACCCUAAUUGUCCUCAGAGAAGUAGAGAUGAUUCCUUCACAGAGGGAAUCCUACACUCCAAACUCUCUGGGGCCCACCCUUGAGACGGCAUGCAGGGCUGGAGAUUUAGGCAGGAACAGCCUGGGCAGGCACGUAAGGUAGCUCUGCUUCUUAAGGCAUGACUGCUGUCUUCAUGGAGUGGGCCCCACCCUGCAAGGAAGCUUAAUGGAAUGGAACACUGCUCCCAAAGGAAUCCAGCCCCUCCAGGGGCUGGGGGUUUCUAUUAAAGCUAAACAGCAUCACCAAACCAACCAAUUUCCUGUGCCACUUGGUAGAAUGAGGGAGGGG